ensembl:lncRNA
GGGGCGAGAACCUUUAUUUUAAACUUGUGACAUCAUUUCACAGCACCAAAAGAAUAGCUUUCAUUAUUACAAUAUAAAGAACUCUGUGAUUAAUUUUGUUUCUGAGUGAAAACAUGUGGAGGGCCAGCUGGGGGAAGGGAAUCUUCUUGUGGAAGACUCUAGGGAGUUGAUGGGGGCUGGUGAAUUGUAGUUUGGUUUUUUUCUGGAAACACAUAAAUGGAAAGCACUGAAAAAUAUUGUCAGGCAAAUACAUUAUUUUUUGCCAUAGUUUUAAUAACCAUUUAAUCAAAAGGAAAGCAUGUACCUAAGUAUUCAUCACUAAAGAAAAAGAUGAAAAGUAUUGCAAAAUGACAGAACUAUUGUCUAUCCUUGUGGAAAGAUAAAGGACACUACCUCAAGAAGAUUAAAAAUAAGAACAUUAACAUCAUGACUAAUAACAAGAAGCUAUUUUUUCAUCUAUUAGAUUAAAAUAAGAACAACUUUAAUAUUCAUAAGCUAGAAGCAAUUUUUCACGCAUUACUUCUAAAUAGAAAAAGGCAAUUUCAGUAUCUUUCAGUCUUUUAUCAGUAACUAAAUUUGUCAUACUAUGAGAAAGAUAGCUCACUGAAGACAGUUUAAAAUCAUUUUUAAAGUAGUGGCACACCAAAAGGGCAUUUAACCCAUUAAGAGGUGGCAGACAGGAGAGAUUCAAGUGAAAUAUAUGUUUUUAACUCAUGGCCAUGAAUUUCUAUAAAACUGAUAAAAAUAGAUUUUUGUUUUGAACACAUAGUCUUGUCAGUACUUGCUCUGAAGAUUUCUUUCCAUGUUGCUAUUAAAAAAACAAUCAAACAAAGAAAACAACAACAAAACCCACAAAACACAACACAAACACCUUCAAACAAUCUGGAAGUUGAUUUCUGUUACCGGUGUCAAGGAAUAUAAACAUCUCUGUCUUGCAGGUAUAAGACACCAGUUUAACUCUUUAAUUACAGACCCAUGAAAGAACUCCUAACAUCAGCAUAACUAAUAUUUUGCCCAUUUCUUGCAAAUUUCAUUCUUAUUCUGAUCCCAUGAAGUACUGUAAAUGCUGAUUUUUUUUUUUUUAUUCCAGUAUUAUAUAAAAUGGAGUGCUAGUGGGUGAAUGUUAAGUCCAAUACUCUCUGACUAGGCUCUUUUAGAUAUUCCACAUAUGGAGGGCUUAAAGUUUAAUAUUAAAUUUACUUAUUUAAUAUAAUUGUUGUUGCAUGGGAUUUUGAUUUAGUAGAGUGAUACGGCAUACUGAAAUCACAACACAAGCACAAUAUAGCUAUUGCAGUAUGCAGUUGAAUCACCAGACAAACAUGAUUCCCAUUACCAGUCUCUGUAUGCCCACUUUCAUGAUGCUGGGUGUACAUAGUCACUGGGAAGGAGUAUGAGGGUUGAAGCCAGGUCAAGCCCAUUGUUGUCUUCCAAGUUCAUUUUAUUAUCUGGAGAGUUGUUAAACUUAAUGUUACAUUGAGCCACAUAUACACUUGCUGCCCCCAUGCUGCUCUGGCUAGCUCAGAAAGACAUUACUCUCCACUAAUUAUCUCAGAGAAAGUUGUUUAUACAACCUGAUGACCAGCUGUAUAUCUGAAAAUAAGGUUACGUUCCAGUUCUCCUAAAAGCGCAGCUCUCUCUACGAUAAUUGGUGGUCAUUCUUUACAUUCUUCCUUGAGCUCAUUAUUUUUGCCCUUCUCUGAGUCUUCUUCCGUUGGCGGGGCGGGGGGGUGGGGGUGGGUGUUGGUUACAGUGAAACAUUGUCAAUGUUGUAGAAAUGCAAAGGUUCUUGACUGCUCUGAAUGACUUUUCCCUUUCUCUCACCUAGUAUGUUCUGUCUUGUCUUUUGCUGAAUUUAGCAGAAAUCGGGAUUUUUGAGAUGCAGUUAAGCCUAUGCUUUAACCCAUCCUAACUGUAUUCACAGAAAAAUUAAAUCAUACUUAUGGGCCAUUACAGCUGAACAGUAUUUAAAUACUUUUUUCUUUCUUCCUAUAUGCUGUAUAUUUUUAUUGCAAAUCUCAAAACAAAAGUUAUUAAUAGGUUUCUUUAGGACCUGCUUAAAAUAGAAACCAAAACGCAAAAUACAAACUGAUGAGAGGUGAACAGGAAUUUCUCUAUAUUAAAGUGUUCCUUUGGAGAGGUGACUACAGAUAUUCCUCCAGUUGAAAUCAAACUGAGUAUCUUGUGUUAUAGGGAAAAUGAUGUAGUGCCUAUGUUCUUUUCUUAAUAAAACAUUCGUAAUUUGCAAAUCUGCUAUUCUGUAAUCCGCAUUUGGGAAUAUUUCAUUCCUAACCAGAAUGCAGACACUAGCUUGGUGUAACAAAAAAGCUGUUCGAUUACACAAAGAAAUCAUAGAAUCAUAGACUAGUUAGCAUUGGAAAGGACCUUAAGAUCAUCUAGUUCCAACCCCC